rnacentral:rRNA from 1 species
AGUGAACGCUGGCGGUAGGCCUAACACAUGCGAGUCGAACGGCAGCACAGGAGAGCUUGGUCUCUGGGUGGCGAGUGGCGGACGGGUGAGGAAUACAUCGGAAUCUACCUUUUCGUGGGGGAUAACGUAGGGAAACUUACGCUAAUACCGCAUACGACCUACGGGUGAAAGUGGGGGACCGCAAGGCCUCACGCGAUUAGAUGAGCCGAUGUCCGAUUAGCUAGUUGGCGGGGUAAUGGCCCACCAAGGCGACGAUCGGUAGCUGGUCUGAGAGGAUGAUCAGCCACACUGGAACUGAGACACGGUCCAGACUCCUACGGGAGGCAGCAGUGGGGAAUAUUGGACAAUGGGCGCAAGCCUGAUCCAGCCAUACCGCGUGGGUGAAGAAGGCCUUCGGGUUGUAAAGCCCUUUUGUUGGGAAAGAAAUCCUGUCGAUUAAUACUCGGUGGGGAUGACGGUACCCAAAGAAUAAGCACCGGCUAACUUCGUG